UGGGGAAUAUUGCACAAUGGGCGAAAGCCUGAUGCAGCGACGCCGCGUGAGGGAUGACGGCCUUCGGGUUGUAAACCUCUUUCAGUAGGGACGAAGCGCAAGUGACGGUACCUGCAGAAGAAGCACCGGCUAACUACGUGCCAGCAGCCGCGGUAAUACGUAGGGUGCGAGCGUUGUCCGGAAUUACUGGGCGUAAAGAGCUCGUAGGCGGUUUGUCACGUCGUCUGUGAAAUCCUAGGGCUUAACCCUGGACGUGCAGGCGAUACGGGCUGACUUGAGUACUACAGGGGAGACUGGAAGUGCUGGUGUAGCGGUGGAAUGCACAGAUAUCAGGAAGAACACCGAUGGCGAAGGCAGGUCUCUGGGUAGUAACUGACGCUGAGGAGCAAAAGCAUAGGUAGCGAACAGG
rnacentral:rRNA from 1 species